UUAGUAGUGAUGGCUAAAAAUCAUCACUAUGCUAAUAAAAAAUAAUUUUUUAAAGUGUAUUUUGUGGGAGGUCAGAAACUCAAAAAAUGUUAUGUUAGGACUGUUUAUCAUGCAAUGAUUAUAUGUCAUGGGAGAAAAAUAUUCACAAUAUUUUAAAACACGAGACAAACUCUGCAGGAACAUUAGGGUAAAUUUUUCAAGAAAUAAAUAAAUUAAGGAAAAAAAAUGCAAUGAAGCCUAUGUUAUGUUACUUAUGGUAAUAUGAUAAAAACAUACUCCUAACAAUACAUAAACACAUUACAUCUUGUACUGAUUAAUUGAGAAUAAUAUAUGUGACCUUUUAGUUGUUUGCUUGUCUCUAAUAAGUAAUUCUCAUUGACCAUGUACCAUGGGGAUAAUUGAAUAGGGAAGCUUUCUUAGCAGCAGCGUAAUGGUAGAGAAA
rnacentral:lncRNA from 1 species